AUUGAACGCUGGCGGCAUGCUUUACACGUGCAAGUCGAACGGUAACAGGCCGCAAGGUGCUGACGAGUGGCGAACGGGUGAGUAAUGCAUCGGAACGUGCCCAGUCGUGGGGGAUAACGCAGCGAAAGCUGCGCUAAUACCGCAUACGAUCUAUGGAUGAAAGCGGGGGACCGUAAGGCCUCGCGCGAUUGGAGCGGCCGAUGUCAGAUUAGGUAGUUGGUGGGGUAAAGGCUCACCAAGCCAACGAUCUGUAGCUGGUCUGAGAGGACGACCAGCCACACUGGAACUGAGACACGGCCCAGACUCCUACGGGCGGCAGCAGUGGGGAAUUUUGGACAAUGGGCGCAAGCCUGAUUCAGCAAUGCCGCGUGCAGGAAGAAUGCCUUCGGGUUGUAAACUGCUUUUGUACGGAACGAAACGGUCCUGGUUAAUACCUGGGGCUAAUGACGGUACCGUAAGAAUAAGCACCGGCUAACUACGUGCCAGCCGCCGCGGUAAAAC
rnacentral:rRNA from 1 species